rnacentral:misc_RNA from 1 species
GUCAUUUCUCACCAAUCACGAAAAUCGGUCGGUCGCCUGCUGUUCCCUCAAUUUUUAUUGUACAAAAUGCGCUGAAAAUAACGCGUUUUAUUGUUAAAAGUGCUUUAAAUUAUACUCCAGCUAUGUGGUUAUGCCGUAGCUAUAAAAUACAAAUGCUAUGAUCAGUGGUAACGUGCGAAAAAAGUUCGCGAAAAAAUGAAAAGUAGUCAAAUAUACGUCGCAAAUGGAGGGGGCAAGAGGAUGAUGGCCAAACAUAGCCACAGCGAAAAACGCAAAUAAGUGACACGCAGAACAACCAGAAAAUGCAAUUAUAUUAAAAAUAAUCGAGCUAUAUAAUAUACACCAAAAAGAAAACUUAUUAACACUACGAGAACAAAUAGCCAAACGACUGCACCUGUAUUGACGUAGUAUAUGUUGUGUAUGUAAGUGUGUGUGCAUGUGUGGGUGCAGCACACACAGUAGCUGGACAGUGUUUUGUUGUUGUUUGGGGUUGAAAGCUGCAUAACGCGUGACGUGUGACAGUGUGUACCCAACCCCACACACACACACAUACACACAGCCACAGCCACCCACACUUGAAUGCGUAAUUAAGGAAGAGGCACAACAUAGAGACCCAAAGCAAAGACAACAACAACAACAACACAAACAUGAUGGACAACGAUGACACAAUGCUCAAUAACUGUGGACCACAGUCGGGCGCUGAAACGGUCUACGGCACCGAGGACAACAAUAUGGUCAUGUCCGAGAAGAAUGAACAGGUUGUCAGCAUCGUGCAGCAGCUGGCUGGCAGCAUUUAUCAGGAGUUCGAGCGAAUGAUCAAUCGCUACGACGAGGAUGUGGUUAAGAACCUAAUGCCGCUGCUUGUAAACGUGCUGGAGUGCCUGGAUGCCUCCUAUCGCAUCAAUCAAGAACAGGAUGUCGAGGUGGAGUUGCUGCGCGAGGACAAUGAACAGCUGGUUACCCAGUAUGAGCGCGAGAAGAGCGCGCGCAAGCAGUCCGAGCAAAAACUGCUGGAGGCGGAGGACUUGGCUGAACAGGAGAACAAAGAGCUGGCAAGCCGUCUGGAGUCCCUAGAGAGCAUAGUGCGCAUGCUGGAGCUGAAGCACAAGAACAGCGUGGAGCAUGCCAGUCGCCUGGAGGAGCGAGAGGCGGACCUCAAAAAGGAAUAUGCCAGGCUGCACGAACGCUACACAGAACUGUUCAAGAACCAUGUGGACUACAUGGAACGUACCAAAAUGCUGAUGGGCUCGACGCACUCACAAAUGAGCAAUGCCUCCGAUCGCAUGGAGGUGAGUCGGGCGCGACUUAACCCAGUGGCGCGCAGCUCCGGCCCCGUCUCCUAUGGCUUUGCCUCGCUGGAGAAUUCUGUUAUGCUGGACACGGAGACGAUUUGCAGCGUAGGCAGCCAGUCGGAUGAUUCGGGACCGCCAUCCCUGCAGAAUGAACUAGAUAAUUUGGCUGGCACCGUGGAACGUGGCGCCGCAACAGAUGCGCUGCAGCAACAACAUCAGGCCACCUCGCCGCAGAGUCCAGAUAUGAGUCCCGUUGUGCCAAAUGUGCCCGCAAAUGUUGGUCGUUCGACCACCAAAAAGGAACAGCGCUCGGACAAUAAUCUAUACCAAGAAUUGUCCUUCCAGGAUAACGAAGAGAGCGAAGAGAAUGAGAUUGUUACAGGCAGCUGGGUACAUCCCGGAGAGUACGCAUCCUCAGCUAACGACAACUAUUUUGGCAUGGGCAAAGAGGUGGAGAAUCUUAUAAUGGAGAAUAAUGAGCUGCUAGCGACCAAAAAUGCACUCAACAUUGUCAAGGACGAUUUAAUUGUCAAAGUGGAUGAGCUGACGGGUGAGGUAGAAAUUGUGCGCGAAGAACUGAAUGCUAUGCAACAGUCGCGUACCAAGCUCAGGCAACGCAUCGGCGAACUAGAAGAUGAGCUCAAGAAGACCAAGGAGCAGGUGAAACAGCAAAGCACCGAGCAGGAGGAGAAUGAUGUGCCGCUGGCGCAGCGCAAACGCUUUACACGCGUGGAAAUGGCAAUGGUGCUAAUGGAGCGCAAUCAGUACAAGGAGCGGCUAAUGGAACUGCAGGAGGCGGUGCGCCUGACGGAAAUACUGCGCGCCUCGCGCACUGUGGACAAUUUGGACAAGAAGUCGAAGCAAGGCAUUUGGCAAUACUUUAGUAAUCUUUUUACCCACUCCAAUCGUUCGUCGGAGCGCGGCGCCGACGGGCUUGGAGGGGGGCCGAUGUUUCGUCACACAGGCGGAGGAAGCCCUGCCCACAGUCAUGGAUCACCUAGCCGUGGAGGAAGCGACAAUCGCCUUGCCAUAGCCGGUUCACAGCCACCGCCGCAUCCGGCCAGCGCCGGGCUUGCGAAUGCACUAAUCAUGGCCAAGGAUUAUUCGGAAGAGGGCAGCUCAGAGCGCAUCAACGCGAGGCGGCGUGAACAAUAUCGCCAACUGCGUGCCCAUGUGCAAAAGGAGGACGGACGACUGCAUGCCUACGGCUGGAGCUUGCCCAUAAACAAGACGAAUCAGGAUGCCAAUCCAAGUCGGCACUCAGGUGGCGUGCCCGUGCCCGUCUAUUGUAAUCCCCUGGCCGAGGCAUCGCCGCACAUGAAAGUAUUUUGUGCGGCAGGUGUCAAUCUGCAGGGUGGCUUCACAAAGGAUGGUCAAUCGCUGAUACCCCCCGAUUCACCAUAUGCGCCGCGCUCAACGCUCAAAAUUGCAGAGAUAUCUAGCCCGACGGCGGAACACAGCGCCGAGGCGCUGGAUCGUCAAAUGGCACGUGCCAGCCUAGAGACUCUUGAGCCCGAGACGCAGCUCAGCUCGUUUGUAUGGAUCUGCACCAGCACUCAUGCCGCUAGUACGGUCAGUGUGGUGGAUGCAAAUCAGUCGGCCACGGUGCUGGAUGCUUUUCCGAUAUGCGCAUCGCAUCUGCUGUGCAUUGCCUCCGUGCAGGGCGCCAUGGAGAGUGACUAUGCACUGUUGGAGCAAUCGGAGGUGGUCAAGGCGGGCGAGAUGCUGCAACGACCAGGCGAGGGUACUGAGCUGCUUGGCAAGGUGGAGUUUGUGCGCGUUAAACCCAAAUCCGAUCAGAACAGCAAUAGCAAGCAAAACUCCCUGGAGGAGGAGGUGCCGGCGCCAAUUACUGUUGUGGGCGUGGCAGUGGCCAAAGAGGCUACGGAGAAAUCCAAUGAGCAACUGCCCGCCGUGGAUGCAACCGAACCGCUGGCCAAUGUAGAAGCUAUUAAGAUACGUCAGGCGCUGCCGGGUGCACCGCAGCGACUGCCCAGCAGCUCGGAUAACAACAGCCACAAUCACGUCAACAACAACAACAGCAGCAACAAUGUCCAAUUCAGCAUCAAAUCACUGAAUCCCAUACUGGGCACCAAGGAGCGCGAAGAGCCGGCCAUGAGCUCAGUGGGACCCACAAUGUGGCUAGGUGCCCAGGACGGUUGGCUAUAUGUGCACAGCAGUGUGGGGCGCUGGCAUGAGUGUCUGCACAAGGUGCUCCUGCCCGAUGCGGUGUUGGCGAUUGUCCAUGUGGAGGCGCGUGUUGUUGUUGCGCUGGCCAAUGCUCAGUUAGCCGUGUUUCGCCGCCAAACAGACGGCCAAUGGGAUCUGAAUAGUUAUCACCUGGUUACGGUCGGUGAUCGCAAUCAUUCGAUACGUUGCCUCUGUGUGGCCGGCGAGCGCAUUUGGGCCGCGCAUCGCAACAAGAUCUUUAUUGUUGAUCCAAUAUCGCUAAACAUUGUACACUCGCUGGACGCGCAUCCGCGCAAGGAGAGCCAAGUGCGCCAAAUGGCAGCGACAGGUGCCGGCGUUUGGGUAUCCAUACGCCUGGAUUCCACGCUGCGUCUGUACAAUACGCAUACAUUUGAGCACAAGCAGGAUGUGGACAUUGAGCCGUAUGUUUCCAAGAUGCUGGGCACCGGCAAGCUGGGCUUUAGUUUUGUGCGCAUCACAGCGCUGAUGGUCUCGUGCAAUCGCCUCUGGAUCGGCACCAGCAAUGGCGUUAUCAUUUCCGUGCCCCUGGCCGAGAUGCAGCAAAAGUCAUCUGAUCCACAUGGCCACAUGCCAUUGUGCUGCAUGGCCAAUGCUCAACUGUCCUUCCAUGGCCAUCGCGAUGCGGUCAAGUUCUUUGUAUCCGUGCCCAUGCUCCAGCAGCCGAAUGGCACGCUCACCUUUAGCAACAAGCGACCCGACAUGUUGGUCAUGUGCGGUGGCGAGGGUUAUAUUGAUUUUCGCAUAAGACAUGAAAAAUACGAUGCUAGUGAUAAUGCAGCGCAUUUGAUAGUUUGGAAAGUCGAUACUACCUUCAAUUUGUAGUCGCGCCGCCCGCCCGUAGGCCCAAGCUCAAAUUUGGAAUGCAGCAUUUAUCUGAGCCCAUGCGUGUGUGUGACCUGAUCGAAAGACCCUAAGAUGACAAUGAUAUGGAGAACAGUAUUCAACUGGAACCAAAUCAAACGAUUGAAAAUCGAGGCGAUAAGAGUUAUU